GCGCCCAUAGCUCAAUGGAUAGAGCAUUUGGCUUCGGACCAAAGGGUUGGGGGUUCGACUCCCUCUGGGCGCG
rnacentral:tRNA from 2 species